UGGGGAAUAUUGCACAAUGGGCGCAAGCCUGAUGCAGCCAUGCCGCGUGUGUGAAGAAGGCCUUCGGGUUGUAAAGCACUUUCAGCGAGGAGGAAGGUGGUGAACUUAAUACGUUCAUCAAUUGACGUUACUCGCAGAAGAAGCACCGGCUAACUCCGUGCCAGCAGCCGCGGUAAUACGGAGGGUGCAAGCGUUAAUCGGAAUUACUGGGCGUAAAGCGCACGCAGGCGGUUUGUUAAGUCAGAUGUGAAAUCCCCGGGCUCAACCUGGGAACUGCAUUUGAAACUGGCAAGCUAGAGUCUCGUAGAGGGGGGUAGAAUUCCAGGUGUAGCGGUGAAAUGCGUAGAGAUCUGGAGGAAUACCGGUGGCGAAGGCGGCCCCCUGGACGAAGACUGACGCUCAGGCUGCGAAAGCGUGGGGCAGCAAACAGGAUUAGAUACCCUGGUAGUCCACGCUGUAAACGAUGUCGAUUUGGAGGUUGUGCCCUUGAGGCGUGGCUUCCGGAGCUAACGCGUUAAAUCGACCGCCUGGGGAGUACGGCCGCAAGGUUAAAACUCAAAGGAAUUGAC
rnacentral:rRNA from 1 species